UGAAGUAUUACACACACACACACACACACACACACACACACACACACAGAGUAAAGCAUGGGAGACAUAUAGGUCAGUUGUCUACAAAGUGGACACCCAGGUAACUACCAACCAGGUUAAGAAGUAAACCAACACUGACAUCACAGAAGCCUCAGUAUUUUCUCUCACAAUUGUUGUGUUCUCCUUCCCUUACAAAAAUAACUAUAUACUGAUAUCUUAAUACCUAAGCUUAUACCCUUCAACAUUAUAGUUUCGCCUAUUUUUUGCAAUUUAUAUUAAAUGGAGUUAUACAGUAUUUUGCUGUAUAUUAAUGACUUUUAUUUUGCCCUAUAUUAACCGCUCUAUAUUGUUUCUGAGUUCCACAUCUACUAUUGCAUAUAGCAGUUUUUCAUAUUAUUUCUUAUAGAACAUUACAUUGUUUGAAUAUACCCAACUCACCUGGUCCACUGUAGAUGGAUAUUUGGAUUGAUUCCAAUGUUUUAUCCUUACAAAUAGUGCUGCUUUGCACAUUCUUGUACAUAUUUUCUUGGUAUUUCAUACUUAAAUUUCCGUUGUUAUUUCUGGGAGUGGGAUUAUUGGUAGUUGUUUAGUUGGUAUCUCGUUGUGGUUUUAACUUUGCAUUUACUGGUUACAGAUGAAGUUGAGUACCUUUACAUGUAUUUAUUGGCUAAUUAGAUUUCCUCUUUUGUGUACUGUCCAGUCACAUCUCUUGCCCAUUUUUCUGUGUUUUUGGAGUGUUUAUGAAUCCUUGUCAGUUCUGUGUUGCAGAUAUCUUUCACACUCUAUUUUGAUUUGUCUGUCAUUCUCUUAAUGUUGUCGUUUUGACAAUCAAUCUUAAUUUUAACAUGUUCAAGUUUUUUAUUUUCCUUUAUGAUUAUUGAUUUUUGUGCAGUGCCCCAAGGCAAUGAAGAUAUUAUCCUAUGUUAAUUUCUAGAAGUUUUAACAUUGUUUUGCUUUCUACAUUUAGUUCUAUAAUUCACUUGGAAUUAUUUUUUGGUUAUUAGAUUGAGAUAGCCUUUAAGCAUUUUGUGGGCUUUUUUUUUCUUGUGGCUAUCUAAUUGUCCACUGAGACAGUCCUUUUCCUCUACUUUUCUGCAGUACCAGCUUUGUUGUAAAUUAAAUGUCUCUCUUUCUAUGGUUCUAUUUCUGGACUUUUAUUCUGAACCAUUGGUUUAUUUGUCUGCCUUUGCACCAAUAACUCACUGUUUUAUUCAUCAUUACCUUGUUCUUCAAAAAUGUUUUGGCAAUUCUUGAUUUUUUUCAUUUUUAUAUAAAUUUUAGGGCCAGCUUGUGACAUUCAAAACAACAUCAAACUACUGGAGGGUCUCAAUUUUGCUGAGGUUGGAGAAGAUUAGGAAGAGCAUCAUACAAGAAAAAACUGUAUGAUCUACAAAAUCAUAAUUUUUCUUAAACCCACCAGAGAUCCUAACAGCCAAGUCAUCUGAAAUGUAUGAAAAGACAGAUCCCUUCAAGGAGCAACAGGAUGCAGGUAUACCUUUGGCAAAACACAGAAGAAAAAGAUGACAAACUCCCUGUAAUAGCAGGUGGAAGAAACAGGUUUAGAAAGUUUAAUAAACUUACCUGUGUGAGACUAUAAAAGGAAAAUGUACCCAAAGAAACUCGGGAAUCAUGAUAAGCUUUUAUUAGCUGAAACAGUCCACAGUAUUAAGUGGAUAUCAACUGAUGAACUCCCAGUUUCUGCUGUUCCGUGAAGUCACACACCAGCAAAAGGAGGCCAGAACAAGGGACCCAGGGUGGACAGCCAGUCCUUCAGUUCCCUCCAGUUGCAGCCUCCUCACCUUACUGUCUACUGUGCCAGCCUAUACUUCACAAUUCUACAGCUCCAUCUCCAAAAUGUUGAGACCACCAUGGCCUUGAUUGGAGUUGAAUUGAUGCUGCCUACUGUUUGCCUCCAGGGUCCCAGAGCUUUCUACUGCUGCUCAGUACUUUCCGACUUUAAGGAAUCAUCAGAGUGGUAGAGUAUAUGUGUGGUAGCCAACAGUGAUGGAAAUGGUUUUCAAGGUGUGGGACAGCAAAAAUCCUGUGCCCUGGUAAUGUAGUCAACUUGAAAGUGUUCCCACUGCCAAAUCCAUGAGGGACCCCUGGCCACACUGGGAUGCCUGGAGCAGUUCGUCCUGGCAGUAACAACCUUCAUCCCAUGUUUGGUAUCAUGGGAGAGCUGAGUUCUGGAUUUCAG